AAGAAACCAACAGGGAUUGCCCUAGUAACGGCGAGUGAAGCGGCAACAGCUCAAAUUUGAAAUCUGGCGUCUUUGGCGUCCGAGUUGUAAUUUGCAGAGGGCGCUUUGGCAUUGGCAGCGGUCCAAGUUCCUUGGAACAGGACGUCACAGAGGGUGAGAAUCCCGUACGUGGUCGCUAGCCUUUACCGUGUAAAGCCCCUUCGACGAGUCGAGUUGUUUGGGAAUGCAGCUCUAAAUGGGAGGUAAAUUUCUUCUAAAGCUAAAUACUGGCCAGAGACCGAUAGCGCACAAGUAGAGUGAUCGAAAGAUGAAAAGCACUUUGGAAAGAGAGUUAAAAAGCACGUGAAAUUGUUGAAAGGGAAGCGCUUGCAGCCAGACUUGCCUGUAGUUGCUCAUCCGGGUUUUUACCCGGUGCACUCUUCUACGGGCAGGCCAGCAUCAGUUUGGGCGGUUGGAUAAAGGUCUCUGUCAUGUACCUCCUCUCGGGGAGAUCUUAUAGGGGAGACGACAUGCAACCAGCCUGGACUGAGGUCCGCGCAUCUGCUAGGAUGCUGGCGUAAUGGCUGUAAGCGGCCCGUCUUGAAACACGGACCAAGGAGUCUAACAUCUAUGCGAGUGUUUGGGUGUCAAGCCCGAACGCGUAAUGAAAGUGAACGGAGGUGGGAACCUUUCGGGGUGCACCAUCGACCGAUCCUGAUGUCUUCGGAUGGAUUUGAGUAAGAGCAUAGCUGUUGGGACCCGAAAGAUGGUGAACUAUGCUUGAAUAGGGUGAAGCCAGAGGAAACUCUGGUGGAGGCUCGCAGCGGUUCUGACGUGCAAAUCGAUCGUCAAAUUUGGGCAUAGGGGCGAAAGACUAAUCGAACUAUCUAGUAGCUGGUUCCUGC
rnacentral:rRNA from 1 species